rnacentral:ribozyme from 1 species
GUGUGGACGGAAAGACAAAACACAAGUGAAAAAAAAAUAAAAGGCUGCAGGAAAAGUUGGGACAGUGCAAAUGAAUGCGCCGUUUAGAAUAUGGUUUCCUUCUCUGUACAGUGAGAUAUGCAACACGUGAUGUUUCUUUUCUUUUCUUUUCUUUUUUUUCUUUUUUUGGUGUGUGUAAGUGCAAUC